CUCAAGCUCUGCCCAGAGUGAACUUGAAAGAACCUAGUGGGGAAACCCCCACUCAACUCCUGAUUAGGUGUGCACCCAAGAAUCACGAACAGAACA
rnacentral:pre_miRNA from 7 species